rfam:Haemonchus contortus, ISE/inbred ISE, WGS project CAVP01000000 data, contig: Hcontortus_contig_pathogens_Hcontortus_scaffold_2746
GGCCCAAACUUGAAGUAAAGUAGAUUAAUAGGGUCAGCUGAUACUACUAAUCGACUCUGCUUCAAUUUUGGGCCC